rnacentral:miRNA from 1 species
UUUGGAAGGUGAUUGUUUGCU